rnacentral:tRNA from 7 species
GCGCUCGUAGCUCAGCUGGAUAGAGCAACGGCCUUCUAAGCCGUGGGUCGCAGGUUCGAGUCCUGCCGGGCGCGCCA